rnacentral:rRNA from 1 species
UUAAUACCCCAUAAUAUUUAUCUUUCACAUGGUCGAUAAAUUAAAGUUUUAACGGUUAGAGAUGGGCAUGCGUGACAUUAGUUUGUUGGUGAGGUAACGGCUCACCAAGACUACGAUGUCUAGGGGUUCUGAGAGGAUUAUCCCCCACACUGGUACUGAGACACGGACCAGACUCCUACGGGAGGCAGCAGUAAGGAAUAUUGGGCAAUGGACGAGAGUCUGACCCAGCCAUGCCGCGUGCAGGAUGACUGCCCUAUGGGUUGUAAACUGCUUUUAUAUGGGAAGAAACCUCCGCACGAGUUGCGGGGCUGACGGUACCAUACGAAUAAAGACCGGCUAACUCCGUGCCAGCAGCCGCGGUAAUACGGAGGGUCCAAGCGUUAUCCGGAUUUAUUGGGUUUAAAGGGUGCGCAGGCGGAAUGAUAANUCAGUGGUGAAAGCCUACAGCUCAACUGUAGANCUGCCAUUGAUACUGUCACUCUUGAGUACAGUGGAAGUGGGCGGANUGUAUCAUGUAGCG